AGAGUUGAUCCUGGCUCAGAUUGAACGCUGCGGCAUGCCUUACACAUGCAAGUCGAACGGCAGCACGGGGGCAACCCUGGUGGCGAGUGGCGAACGGGUGAGUAAUACAUCGGAACGUGUCCUGUAUGGGGGAUAGCCCGGCGAAAGCCGGAUUAAUACCGCAUACGCUCUACGGAGAAAGGGGGAUCUUAGGACCUCCCGCUACAGGGGCGGCCGAUGGCAGAUUAGCUAGUUGGUGGGGUAAAGGCCUACCAAGGCGACGAUCUGUAGCUGGUCUGAGAGGACGACCAGCCACACUGGGACUGAGACACGGCCCAGACUCCUACGGGAGGCAGCAGUGGGGAAUUUUGGACAAUGGGCGAAAGCCUGAUCCAGCAAUGCCGCGUGUGAAGAAGGCCUUCGGGUUGUAAAGCACUUUUGUCCGGAAAGAAAACGCCGUGGUUAAUACCCGUGGCGGAUGACGGUACCGGAAGAAUAAGCACCGGCUAACUACGUG
rnacentral:rRNA from 1 species